rnacentral:rRNA from 1 species
GACGAACGGUGCAGCACGUUGUUCGGAAUCACUGGGCUUAAAGGGCGCGUAGGCGGGUGUGCAAGUCUGCGGUGAAAGCCUCCAGCUUAACUGGAGAAGUGCCGUGGAUACUGCAUAUCUUGAGGAGGGUAGGGGCAUCUGGAACAUUGGGUGGAGCGGUGAAAUGCGUUGAUAUCCAAUGGAACUCCGGUGGCGAAGGCGAGGUGCUGGACCCUUUCUGACGCUGAUGCGCGAAAGCCAGGGGAGCAAACGGG